ensembl:lncRNA
CUCCCCUUGACAGAAUGACUCCCAGUGUUUGAAGUCCGGAGCAGUUCGCUCUCAGGAACACUCCUGCAGCCCCAGGCUUUGCCUUCCUCUUUUUUCUUAUAUAUAUUUUUUUGGGGGGGGGGGACGACUUAAGACAUACUGAGAACUUGUGUGACUCUAUCUAAUCUUUCUUUUAUGCUGUCAAAACGCACCGUGUUCAAUUACCAGCUACGUUCGGAUGUUCUUUUCUAAUAGACUAGGCAAUUAAGAUUCCCGGGGACACGGUACCGCGUGGCGUUGUGUGCCAGUUUGGGGAGACAGCACGCACAACAUGCACGCGAAUAAAAUAACCCGGUCUCCUGAGGUAACAAUACCGAUGGCUGUUCUUUAUAGAAUAAACAGACGCGAGCAGACAGAUUCAUGAAUGUCUUCGCUUCUCUCAUUUCAAGAACACGGGGGUUUUGUUUUGUGGCUUCAGGAGCUCUGGUGCUGUUUUGGAGUGGGUAACUCCAGAGUGCUGUAGCAUGAAGCCAUAUGCCCCGGAGACUGUAGAAGCGGUUCAAAUCCAAACCCCCUCAGGCUCACCAAUGUCUUCAUGGCUAUCUAUCUUUCUAAAUUAGCUGAUACCAGGACAGACUACCCUUGCAGAUUAGGGUGUAGCUUGAUAUUUAGGACUUGUUUAAUGUUUUGAGAUCUUUCUGGGAAGUUACUGAAGUAGGAUAACGUCUAUGUUAAACUCCUUGGUACACACAGCUAUCCGGAUGGCUUCCUUAGACUUGCCAAGAAAGGACUUCUACUCUGAAGGGACUAAGCACAGAAAUCUCAACUACGUCAAAGCAUUGUUAAAGGGGAAUCAUGCCUUUUCUGCGUAGAAGAUGUAGACAUGUUGCAGCCAGGCACUGUUGGAUUAAGGAAAUUAAAUCUAAUUACCACAAUGGUUUCACCCUGGGUCAGUGCCUUCCCAAGCCAGCUGUUUGUGCAUGCUACAAGCUCUCAGCAAGAUUUUCCUUGCCUGGUGCUCUACAGUCAUUCCAGCCACUUGGCUUCUGAGUGAUUUAACUAGCUAGAGGUUGGUCUUCUUCCCAAGAGAGCUCUUACUAGAAAAUCUUUUGUGUCCCUAAUAGAAGUUCAGGCAUUUUAAUGAAGCCCAAAUCAAAGUAUUUCUUCCAGGCAGCCGGGGCUUCAAAGCAUUGUAUAUGGAACGGCCUAGGCACAGAUGUUCAGCACAUGGAUAGGGAGGAGGACUUGAAAAGACAUCCCCCUGAUCAGGAGCUGCCUUCGGUUUGCAGACGGGAAUCUGAGCAUGUUCCUUUCAUGUGACCAUUUGAACUGCUACGGUGGAGAAGGGCCAAGGUGCUUCACAUUGAGUCAUCCCUCCGGUUACAUACCUCUUAAUUUGAGAGUCUAUCUUGAAAAAGACAGGAACCAGGUUGAUGAAGGCACAAUAGAGGCUAAGAACUGUGCCUACGGUAAUAAAACUCGGAAGAACAAGAGAUGAAAAACCUGGAUGUGUAUAUGCCAACCAAGGUGUCCAUGAAGUAUGUGUGCAUAUGUGAUUUAUUAGCAUGUGUGAUAAUAAAUUAAUCAAGGAACAUAUGCAAGUAUGUUAACAAAAAACACAUUGUGUAAGAGUGCCUCUAGCAGAUAGAUGUAUAAAUUAACUGAUUUUAUGCUAUAUGAAGG